CCUCCUCUGCUACUCACAUGCUCCUACACCUGUCUCAAGGGCGAUUUGUGUGGUAGUGUGGGCACAGAGAUGCGCCUGCUCGAGGUGUAUGCAAUGAAGGUGUGACACAGGGUCAUGGUUUUUGGUGUGACAGUAUGAGGAUGAGAGAACUUGUGGUUAUGCCAAAUGGAUCGACAAACCAUGGCAGGGAAGGGAGAGAAGUGUGAUUGCUAAUCUUGCUAGCAAGAAAGAGGUUCUGGAGAAGAAGCUGAAGGAGAAAGAUGGUGACAUAGAAGCUGUGAAGGAGAAGCAGAGAAUGGAGAAGAGAAUGAUUGCAAUGGAGAUCAGUUGCUAUCCAGAGAUAGGAUGAUAAUGUUUUGCUAUAUUAAUGUAUUUUGGUUUAGUCGCAAUCAUGUUUGCAAUGGCUGGCAGGUCCUGAUGCAUUUUGUUUUAAUGUAUUUUGGUUUAGUUGAGACAAAAUUAGUAUUUUGAUGAACUUAAUGAGAUUUACUACUGAAAUGCUUGGUCUGUGUAUUGAAAGAAAAUGGCAAUUCGAGAUGUUUUGUUU